rnacentral:piRNA from 1 species
CUUUCUGUAUGGAUUUGCCUAUUU